rnacentral:rRNA from 1 species
ACGUCCCUCCCAUGGGACAGUGAUCCUUCCGCAGUGUACACUUGUAGAAGCCUUAGCGGGUCCAAAAGACCGGUUCCGCGACUCAAAAUAAGAGAUGACCCCAUCCUCCACAUUGUGGGUGGGUGGCGCUAGUCGGUCCCAUGUCCAUGUUCUAUGUGAUGGGGCGCCGGCGACACUAUCGAAUUGCGGGGAUACCCUAAAGGGCGGCCGUACGAACCCCGAGGUGAAAGUCUCGGGCUGCGAUAGUUAACAGCUAUCGGAAACGUAAAAAUCGGUCGCCAUGAUCCCCUGCCCGAGCAGGGGGGAAAUGGGCAAUCCGCAGCCAAGGGCCUAAGGCCGUCUUCAAGGGCGGCUACGGUCAAGGUUCACAGACUAAGUGGUAGUGGGUGUGGUCUAUGUGGCCAUGCUUAAGAUAUAGUCGGGCCAUCAGGGAAACCUGAUGGGUAAGUACACUGCAUGUGGCAAGGGUUUUAACCCUUCCCUACGUCUUCUGACGUUCUGUAAACCGUUCCGUAGGUGAACCUGCGGAAGGAUCAUUAAAGAGUAAGGGUCAUUCGUGGCCCGACCUCCAACCCUUUGUUGUUAUAACUACCUCGUUGCUUUGGCGGGACCGCUCGGUCUCGAGCUGCCGGUCUUCGGCCCGGCAAGCGCCCGCCAGAGUCUACUCAAACUCUUGUUUUAACCGGUCGUCUUUUGACUCCUUUGCCGUUAAAACCCCAAUUUUUUAACAGGUUGACCUCGGAUCAGGUAGGGAUACCCGCUGAACUUAAGCAUAUCAAUAAGCGGAGGAAAAGAAACCAACAGGGAUUGCCCUAGUAACGGCGAGUGAAGCGGCAACAGCUCAAAUUUGAAAUCUGGCACUUGUGUCCGAGUUGUAAUUUGUAGAGGAUGCUUUUAGGCAGCCACCGGUCUAAGUUCCUUGGAACAGGACGUCAUAGAGGGUGAGAAUCCCGUAUGUGACCGGACAGGCACCUUCUGUAAAGCUCCUUCGACGAGUCGAGUUGUUUGGGAAUGCAGCUCUAAAUGGGAGGUAAAUUUCUUCUAAAGCUAAAUACCGGCGAGAGACCGAUAGCGCACAAGUAGAGUGAUCGAAAGAUGAAAAGCACUUUGGAAAGAGAGUUAAAAAGCACGUGAAAUUGUUGAAAGGGAAGCGCUUGCAAUCAGACUUGUCCUCGGGUGUUCCGCCGGUCUUCUGACCGGUCUACUCAUUCGGGGGCAGGCCAGCAUCACUUUCGGCGGCCGGAUAAAGGCAUUGGGAAUGUAGCUCAACCUUCGGGGGGAGUGUUAGUAGCCCAGUGUGUAAUACGGCCAGCCGGGAGUGAGGUCCGCGC